rnacentral:rRNA from 1 species
AACGAACGCUGGCGGCGUGCUUAACACAUGCAGGUCGAGCGAGAAAGGGAGCUUCGGCACCUGAGUAAAGCGGCGCACGGGUGAGUAACACGUGGGUAACCUGCCUUUCAGUGGGGGAUAACAGCCCGAAAGGGCUGCUAAUACCGCAUUCGUCCACACGGUCACAUGUCUGUGUGGAGAAAGAGGCGCAAGUCUCGCUGGAAGAUGGGCCCGCGGUCCAUUAGCUAGUUGGUGGGGUAAAGGCCUACCAAGGCUUCGAUGGAUAGCUGGUCUGAGAGGAUGAUCAGCCACACUGGAACUGAGACACGGUCCAGACUCCUACGGGAGGCAGCAGUGGGGAAUAUUGCGCAAUGGGCGAAAGCCUGACGCAGCAACGCCGCGUGUGUGAUGAAGGCCUCGG